AACGAACGCUGGCGGCAUGCCUAACACAUGCAAGUCGAACGAGACCUUCGGGUCUAGUGGCGUAAGGGUGCGUAACGCGUGGGAACCUGCCCUUAGGUUCGGAAUAACUCCCCGAAAGGGGUGCUAAUACCGGAUAAUGUCUUCGGACCAAAGAUUUAUCGCCUUUGGAUGGGCCCGCGUUGGAUUAGCUAGUUGGUAGGGUAAAAGCCUACCAAGGCGACGAUCCAUAGCUGGGCUGAGAGGAUGAUCAGCCACACUGGGACUGAGACACGGCCCAGACUCCUACGGGAGGCAGCAGUGGGGAAUAUUGGACAAUGGGCGAAAGCCUGAUCCAGCAAUGCCGCGUGAGUGAUGAAGGCCUUAGGGUUGUAAAGCUCUUUUAACCGGGAUGAUAAUGACAGUACCGGGAGAAUAAGCUCCGGCUAACUCCGUG
rnacentral:rRNA from 1 species